GGCAGAGGACCCUCGUCUUCCUAUUUUCAGUUGGUUUUGGCAGCGCGAGGACUAGGGUAAUGAUUAAUAGGGAUAGUUGGGGGCAUUAAUAUUUAAUUGUCAGAGGUGAAAUUCUUGGAUUUAUGAAAGAUUAACUUCUGCGAAAGCAUCUGCCAAGGAUGUUUUCAUUAAUCAAGAACGAAAGUUAGGGGAUCGAAUACGAUCAAAUACCGUCGUAGUCUUAACCAAAAACGAUGCCGACCAGCGAUUAGGAGACGUUGAAUACAAAACACCACCAUCGGCGCGGUCGUCCUUGGCGUCUGUCCCUUUCAACGGGGGCAGGCGCGAGGGCGGUUUAGCCCGGUGGCACCGGUGAAUGACUCCCCUAGCAGCUUGUGAGAAAAUUAGCCCGGUGGCACCGGUGAAUGACUCCCCUAGCAGCUUGUGAGAAAA
rnacentral:rRNA from 1 species